AACAAGGUGACUAGCCAUCGGCCAGG
rnacentral:piRNA from 1 species